UCUCUAAUCCUUGCUAUCUGGGUGCUAGUGCUAUCUCAAUGCAAUGCACCUAGGCAAGGAUUCAGAGAGGG
rnacentral:pre_miRNA from 1 species